rnacentral:rRNA from 1 species
UACGUAGGGUGCGAGCGUUAAUCGGAAUUACUGGGCGUAAAGCGUGCGCAGGCGGUUUUGUAAGCCAGAUGUGAAAUCCCCGGGCUUAACCUGGGAAUGGCAUUUGGGACUGCAAGGCUCGAGUGCGGCAGAGGAGACUGGAAUUCCUGGUGUAGCAGUGAAAUGCGUAGAUAUCGGGAGGAACACCAGUGGCGAAGGCGGUUGCCUGGAGCUUUGCUGACGCUGAUGCGCGAAAGCGUGGGGAGCGAGCCGG